rnacentral:rRNA from 1 species
GAUGAACGCUGGCGGCGUGCCUAACACAUGCAAGUCGAGCGAUCUUCUUCGGAAGAGAGCGGCGGACGGGUGAGUAACGCGUGGGUAACCUGCCCUGUACACACGGAUAACAUACCGAAAGGUAUGCUAAUACGAGAUAAUAUGCUUUUGUCGCAUGGUAGAAGUAUCAAAGCUCCGGCGGUACAGGAUGGACCCGCGUCUGAUUAGCUAGUUGGUAAGGUAACGGCUAACCAAGGCGACGAUCAGUAGCCGACCUGAGAGGGUGAUCGGCCACAUUGGAACUGAGACACGGUCCAAACUCCUACGGGAGGCAGCAGUGGGGAAUAUUGCACAAU